CGCGCAGGCGGCGUCGUAAGUCGGUCUUAAAAGUGCGGGGCUUAACCCCGUGAGGGGACCGAAACUGCGAUGCUAGAGUAUCGGAGAGGAAAGCGGAAUUCCUAGUGUAGCGGUGAAAUGCGUAGAUAUUAGGAGGAACACCAGUGGCGAAGGCGGCUUUCUGGACUGUAACUGACACUGAGGCUCGAAAGCCAGGGAGCGAGCG
rnacentral:rRNA from 1 species